rnacentral:ncRNA from 1 species
UCAACAACAAUGAUUAGGACGAGUACGUUAACAAACUGUCUUUAGAGAGUCAAGGCUAGUGGAAACUUGAUGAUAAGCGUUAACAGAAAAACACCUAGGAGUUGCUAAUGCGAUAUGUAGUGUUAGCCGGUCGCUUCACGUUAAAGAAGCUUAAUAAUGAUAGUUAUUAAAAGUGAUCAUACAACGGCGUAUGGUAACAUAGGGUGGUACCGCGGAACACAGUCUUUCGUCCCUUGU